rnacentral:rRNA from 1 species
GGGUUGUGAGGUUAAGCGACUAAGCGUACACGGUGGAUGCCCUGGCAGUCAGAGGCGAUGAAGGACGUGCUAAUCUGCGAUAAGCGUCGGUGAGGUGAUAUGAACCGUUAUAACCGGCGAUUUCCGAAUGGGGAAACCCAGUGUGUUUCGACACACUAUCAUUAACUGAAUCCAUAGGUUAAUGAGGCGAACCGGGGGAACUGAAACAUCUAAGUACCCCGAGGAAAAGAAAUCAACCGAGAUUCCCCCAGUAGCGGCGAGCGAACGGGGAGGAGCCCAGAGCCUGAAUCAGUGUGUGUGUUAGUGGAAGCGUCUGGAAAGGCGUGCGAUACAGGGUGACAGCCCCGUACACAAAAAUGCACAUAUUGUGAGCUCGAUGAGUAGGGCGGGACACGUGGUAUCCUGUCUGAAUAUGGGGGGACCAUCCUCCAAGGCUAAAUACUCCUGACUGACCGAUAGUGAACCAGUACCGUGAGGGAAAGGCGAAAAGAACCCCGGCGAGGGGAGUGAAAAAGAACCUGAAACCGUGUACGUACAAGCAGUGGGAGCCUCUUAAUGGGGUGACUGCGUACCUUUUGUAUAAUGGGUCAGCGACUUAUAUUCUGUAGCAAGGUUAACCGAAUAGGGGAGCCGAAGGGAAACCGAGUCUUAACUGGGCGUUAAGUUGCAGGGUAUAGACCCGAAACCCGGUGAUCUAGCCAUGGGCAGGUUGAAGGUUGGGUAACACUAACUGGAGGACCGAACCGACUAAUGUUGAAAAAUUAGCGGAUGACUUGUGGCUGGGGGUGAAAGGCCAAUCAAACCGGGAGAUAGCUGGUUCUCCCCGAAAGCUAUUUAGGUAGCGCCUCGUGAAUUCAUCUCCGGGGGUAGAGCACUGUUUCGGCAAGGGGGUCAUCCCGACUUACCAACCCGAUGCAAACUGCGAAUACCGGAGAAUGUUAUCACGGGAGACACACGGCGGGUGCUAACGUCCGUCGUGAAGAGGGAAACAACCCAGACCGCCAGCUAAGGUCCCAAAGUCAUGGUUAAGUGGGAAACGAUGUGGGAAGGCCCAGACAGCCAGGAUGUUGGCUUAGAAGCAGCCAUCAUUUAAAGAAAGCGUAAUAGCUCACUGGUCGAGUCGGCCUGCGCGGAAGAUGUAACGGGGCUAAACCAUGCACCGAAGCUGCGGCAGCGACACUAUGUGUUGUUGGGUAGGGGAGCGUUCUGUAAGCCUGUGAAGGUGGCCUGUGAGGGUUGCUGGAGGUAUCAGAAGUGCGAAUGCUGACAUAAGUAA